rfam:Gossypium raimondii Chr10_contig_57, whole genome shotgun sequence.
CAUUGAAAAUUUCAUUCAUUUCUACUGUCAAAAACUAGCAUAGCUGAUAAAAUAAUCAGAUAGUGUCACGUUUACCUCAUUUUGAUGUAUAAGGACUAGUUUUUAACAAUAGAAAUGAAUGAAAUUUUUAAUA